AUAUAGAGCUUGUAGGAACAAAUUCUUUCAGGGAAUAAAUGUUCUGUUUGCAGUAUUGAAAGUAUGAAUAUUUAAUAAAAGUCAAAGGACUUGGAAAUAUCAUUUCCUUGGUGAUCUUCCCGCUGCCCUGUUACAGAUGGUGUAAAAUCAGGUGUGUAAAAUACUAAUAACAGCAAAACAAGGCAGCUGAGCUGACAGGAAGGGUAUUCCAGAUUUAUGUGUUGCAGAUGAUAUUGGGAUGAUGAAUGUAUUCAUUGCUCUCUAUUCUUUAUUGCUUCUCGCAGAUAAUGUUCAUGAUGCAUGGAAAAUUCUGUGCCUUUAAAAUCUGUGCCAGGUUUACAAAGUCUGUGUAUGUCAACAGAUGUUAGGAAUAUAAACACAACUUUCAUUAUGGAGUCGUGCAAAUGUGUAGA